AUGAUGUAUUCAUGUCAGAUCUGUGGACAUCAGUCUAGCACCUCAGUGGCCUAUUUGAGACAUGUGAAAAUUCACGACAAUUUACCUAAUUUGGUACUGCAGUGUUGUAUGCCUAAUUGCACAAGGACAUUUAAAAAAUAUGCAGGUCUAAAGGCACAUCUUUACAGAAAACACAAGAAAUAUGUGACUGAGCCCAGAUUGAGUAUUCCAGUGGACCUGACAUGCCACGUUGACUUCUGCACUGCCAAAUGUGAUUCCUUGACUAAGUUCUAUUCACAUCUUAAAGGGCACAUCAAAGAAGGACGGACAGUUGCAUGUCCUUUUCAGCAAUGUGAUAAGUCAUUUACUGUUAUAUCUACAUUGUCUUGUCAUUUGACCAGAAAACAUAGAGAAAGUGGACAAGGAAAUUUGAUAGAGUCUAUCACUGUCUCAGCAGGUGUAAGUGGAACUAGUGGCACCUGUGAUGAUCAUGAUUUCCUCUGUGACAUGCAGCUGGAUGCUGCUGCUGAUGAUGAGCAAUUUGAGGUUUGCCCAGAAAACAUUGAUGAUUCAUUGUUUUUGAGGAAUCUUGCUCUCUUUUAUCUUAAACUACAAGCAAAGUUGCUACUUCCGGCCUCCACUAUUCAGACAAUCAUCGAAGACUUGCAGUCAAUUCAUGACAUCAGCCAGUCACAAUUACUUUUUAAACUGAAUGAAAAGUUGCAUGUGCUAGGGAUUUCAGAUGAGGCUAUGAGGACUCUCAUUGAUGAUCUGAAAACAGAAGAUCUUUUCCGCACUCACAAUACACACACACUGAAAACAGAUCAACGUAGAAAGACUGUUUUCAAGAAACAGUUUAAUCAUGUUGAACCAGUGCCUAUAUGUAUGGGACAAAAUGAAGCAGGCAAAGAGCGCUUUGUUCAGUAUAUCCCCAUAAAACAAACACUUGAAGCUCUUUUUCAGUGCAAGUCUGUAAGUGAUCAGUACAAUGAAGUACACACCCGUGCCCAAACUAAAGAUGUCUUUAAAGAUGUGUGGGAUGGGGAAAAUAUUACUGAGAACCCAGUGCAAACAGAGUCUUUACACUUGAUCCUUUAUCAGGAUGCGUUUGAAGUGGUAAACCCACUAGGGUCUGGAAAAAAGAAGCACAAAGUACUUGCAAUGUAUCUCACACUGGCAGACUUAUUACCACACAACAGGUCAAGUAUUGACCAGAUGCAACUUGUUCUUCUCUGCAAAGAACAAGAUUUCAAGUAUUUUGGUCAGGAUGUGGUCAUGGGUCAGCUGGUAAAAGAUUUGAAAGACCUUGAGAGCAAUGGUGUGGUGCUACCUGAUGGACAGGUCCGUAAAGGAAUACUGCAUGCUAUUGCUGGUGACAAUUUAGGGUCACAUGGGAUUGGAGGAUUUCUUGAGAAUUUCAGCAAAAGUGUUAAUUUCUGCAGAUACUGUGAAAUAGACCGAAACACGUUUCAGACAGAUCCUCUCUGCAGGGCCACUACACGCACAGUGCAAUCAUACAGAGAGCAUGUUCAGAGACUUGAAGAUGGUUCGGUCCAAAGUGGAGGUAUCAAAUUUGACUCCUUGUUCAAUAAACUGUCCUUCUUUCAUGUAUGUAAGCCUGGACUGCCUCCAUGUAUUGGCCAUGAUUUAUUUGAAGGCAUUGUAGCCUCUGAUCUCGCAUUGUACAUCCAGCAUCUGGUGAAGGUCAACAAAGAAUUCACUUAUCUUGAGUUGAACCGAAGGAUUAACCAGUUUAAGUAUCAAGGGAAUGAUGCCAAUGAUAGACCUUGUGAAGUCAGUCCAGGAAGUGAUAAGCUGGGUGGUCAUGCUGUCCAAAAUUGGUGCUUGUUGAGGAUGCUGCCAGUGCUCAUUGGAGAGAAAAUCAAAUCUCCAGGUGACAAUCAAACUUGGCAACUGGUUUUACAGUUAAGAGAAAUUGUUUCACUUAUUUGCGCACCAGCCAUUUCAGCCGGACAAAUUGCAUAUUUGAGAGUGCUUAUUGAUGAGUAUUUGCAUUUCAGAAAGCAAGCUUUCCCUAGUCAACACUGA
ensembl:lncRNA